UAAUAUUUCUGGGGCAGAUCCUUAUCUAGUUAUGGUAGACUCACACCUAAUUACUUAGAAUCACCUGUUUUUGCAAGUCCGACUAUAUCAUUCUCUCUUAUUCACAAAUUAGGGACUUGAAAAUAAU
rfam:Populus trichocarpa isolate Nisqually-1 chromosome 1, whole genome shotgun sequence.